UGGAGAUGGACCUUUCAGGAGGCAAUUAAGGUUAGAGGAGGUCACUGGUGGGGCCCUAAAUCCCAAGGACUGCUGUCCAUACACAGACGCACAGUGUGAGACGUGGCCUCCAGCAGGCCCAGGAGAGAGGGGGCGCCAGGAGGAAGCGGGACGCCUGGUCUCGCCCUGCCUCAGAGCGGGGCGCGCACGCGGCUCGCUGGCGCAGCGUCCGCCGCAGCCCCGCCGCUGGGGGCCCCGCCCCCCCCGUCCAGCUAUCCCUCUCCUCUCGUCAUCCUGGGGCCGUGCCUCAGGCACUCAGCUCUUUCCUAGACUGUUGGGAUCGCCUCCGUGUCUGUCUCCGCUCAUCCUUCGUUUGCCUCUGGGACCAGAGCCGGGAGGAGAGCAGGAGUGGGAGGCCCGCCUGGUGCCCGGGACGCGGGGCCGAGGUGGGGAUGGCCGCAGGCCCAGGCCCCGGACGCAGAGGCUCCGGCGGGGCACCGCCCAUCGGCUCCUUCGUUGUUCGGUUCACUAUUCAGGCCGCGUCUCGAGCGCCUGACACCCACACCCGGUGGUGGCUGAGCAGGAAGAGACCCUUGGCCGGGAUGAGCGUUCGUUCCACUGGCGGAGCCCCCCCCAGCAACUGGCAGGAGGAUGCGAGGGGGGAGGCGCCUGGAGGCCGAGAAGGCAGAUGCUUUUAACCUCUGAGCCGCCAGGGAAGCUGAAGAGCAUCUCAGGCCCUCUGUGCCUACAGCCAGAUCGUAGAUGAAGAGCGUCUCAGGCCCUCUGUGCCUACAGCCAGAUCGUAGAUGAAGAGCGUCUCAGGCCCUCUGUGCCUACAGCCAGAUCGUAGAUGAAGAGCGUCUCAGGCCCUCUGUGCCUACAGCCAGAUCGUAGAUGAAGAGCGUCUCAGGCCCUCUGUGCCUACAGCCAGAUCGUAGAUGAAGAGCGUCUGAUACUUAGACGGUCGCUGUCUCUCUAGUGGCCCCGGGCCAGCCUUUCUCAGGUGGGCGCCCCCUCAGAUGGAGCCCUCUGUGACUGGAGACGCUGUGGGAAAGAGGGUGCCACAGCCCCAGCGCUAGCCCCCAUUCUUGUCUCUGCAACAGGAAAGUGCCCUUCGCAGGGUCUCAGACUGAGUUCAUCACCAGAAACCCCCAAGGGCUGUGCCCCACCCUCAGAGUUUUCAAGCUGGUGUGUCUGUGAAGGGUCGUUAAGGAAAGGUUGUUAAGGUAAGGCUUCAUUCAAGAGGGCACUUCUGCUGAGCCGGUGCCCAGUUGGAUCUCAGCAGAACUCAGCUCCAUCCGCACAGCCGGCUCUGCACCCUCUGCCCGCCUCCCCUUUCUCUCUCUCGCUCAGCCCUCUCUGCACCCAAGUCUUCUCAGGCUCUGCCCUGGGGAAAAGUCCACACUAGGACGCAGACUACUCAAUAUCACUCAGAUGCAGAGGAAGUAGAGUGCAAAAGUGGCUCAAAGCCCUGAGAAGCGCCGCAGUGCUUAAAGGACUGAGGGCGGAGCUGCAACGGCGGAGCAGGCAUUCUCUCCUCCUUCCAAGGGAGAAAAACGGAGAGCAAUUGCUCUAAAUUCUGCGGAAGGCUCUCUGUCGCCGCUUUUCCCAUGGCAGGCUCACACCCCAAACCCUGCUCCUUGGGCUCAGACUCACCUCACAGCCUAGCUCCCGAGCAGCGACUUCUGAUGAGCCGAACCCUCGACCCUGCACUGCCUUCGACAGCAACAUCGCCCGCAGCGGCCUCCUCCUGGAAACGUGCCCUGCUCCGGACACAGGCUCCGCGGUCUCUGCACCUCGUUCUUCCUCACGCUGCUCACUUCCUAAAGUGCGGCUCUUCUGUCGCUUUGUCUGAUAAAUAAAAGUUGCUCCCUCCACCCCACGUUCCACUUAUUCGGGCUACUUAUUCUAGAAUGUAAGCUAAGAAGCAACCAUUUGAAAAUAAAUUUCCUUGAUUCAUACUAUUUUCAUUGAUGUGGGGAUAGAAAUAUGGUUGGAACACCUAGAAGAUUUAUGCUUGACCCCAGGCCUGCAGAACUCGUAACAUCGCAGGUACGGAGCGAUUAAUGUGCCAACUGGUGCGAUUUGCCAUCUGUGAACCAUGUGUAAAUAGUGGUCUGUUUGACACCUAGUAAACUUCAAAGAAGAUGGUCUAUCGUGCAAUCCUGUGUAAGAGAAUAUGGUGAUGAGUACGUAAUCAUGAGAAUGAUGGGAAAAAUUGAAACUCCAGAAUAAGAUUUAGAUGCCUGAAUAAACAUAAUAUGGUUCUUCUGAG
rnacentral:lncRNA from 1 species